rnacentral:rRNA from 1 species
AUUGAACGCUGGCGGCGUGCCUAACACAUGCAAGUCGAGCGGCAGCGCGGGAGCAAUCCUGGCGGCGAGCGGCGAACGGGUGAGUAAUGCUUCGGAAUCUGCCCAUGUAGUGGGGAAUAACCAGCCGAAAGGUUGGCUAAUACCGCAUACGACCUACGGGUGAAAGCAGGGGAUCGUAAGACCUUGCGCUAUUGGAUGAGCCGAAGUCGGAUUAGCUUGUUGGNGAGGUAACGGCUCACCAAGGCGACAAUCCGUAGCUGGUCUGAGAGGACGACCAGCCACACUGGGACUGAGACACGGGCCCAGACUCCUACGGGAGGCAGCAGUGGGGAAUAUUGGACAAUGGGGGCAACCCUGAUCCAGCGACGCCGCGUGUGUGAAGAAGGCUGCGGGUUGUAAAGCACUUUUAGUGGGGAUAGAAAGCUCAGGGCUAAUACCUCGUGGGUUCUUGAACCUAACCCAAAAGAAAAGACACCGGCUAACUCUGUGCCAGCA